CUAUUAGAUAUUUUUGAUGAAUUGGGGUUGAGUUUGGGAUUAUACAUACACACAUAUACACACAUAUAUAUAUAUAUAUAUAUAUAUUCAUGCAUGCUUGUUCUUUGAAUCUCCAUUUUCGGUGAGAAACCCAACGGCUUGCGAGCAAAUUUCUGGUCAACUUCGGCCACGGCUGACUCGGAGAAAGUAGUGGAAUAACUGUGAGUGGACUUCUUCUCAAAUGAAUAUUUUAUAAAUCUUAGGAUUGCAUGCAUAUCUUAUUUCAUAAUUUGAGCAUAUUUUAAAGUAUGUUUUACAGAUUUCCAUAUUUUUGGUUUAUGGAGAAUUUGUGAUUUAUUUAAAUUGCUUUAUGAAAUAUUUAUGAUUUAUCUAAUUUACAUUCUAUUAAAGGUUAUGAACUAUUUGUUUUAUAGGUAAAAAAUUCAGUGGAUUUACGACAUGGCUUUAUUCGACAAGGUUUUGAGCUUUUGAGCUCUGAUGUUUUGGCAUGAGUUUUUGAGAUAUGUUUUCGGUAAAUAUCUAGUGGGUUAUCGUACAACGCAUCCACACAACACGGAUAUGUAGACAUCUAUGGCUAUAGGACACAGUUGAGGAUACUUAUGUUAUACCCCCCAGCUUUACUGGUGAAACCAAUGUCGAACAACUUCAUUAGCCACGACUAGUAUUGGUGUGUGAUGUUAUAUGUAUAUGUUUCUUCUCUAGUGUAACCUAGAGGUGUACAGCUUCACCUUCGGGUGAUGGGGCCUACCAUGUUUCUUCACUGGCGUAACCCAGUGUCGUAUAGCUUCACCUUCAGAUGAUGGACAGGUACUGUCUUCGGGCGAUUAUAAUACCCCUAGAAAGUACAAGCAUUGAUGAGAUUUAUGGAUUUGCCUUUGGGCGACGAUAACACCAUUAUUAAGCAUUGUUUUACUUGUACUUGUUUGGUAAUUACUCUUCUGUGCUUGGUAAUUACCAGACUGAGUAUUGCUUUUAUUCUAUCCAUUGUUACUCACAGAUAAAGAGGCUAAAGCCUUCUCAGUUGCA